GCGAACUGCGAUAAGUAAUGUGAAUUGCAGAAUUCAGUGAAUCAUCGAGUCUUUGAACGCACAUUGCGCCCCCUGGCAUUCCGGGGGGCAUGCCUGUCCGAGCGUCAUUGCUGCCCUUCAAGCCCGGCUUGUGUGUUGGGUCGUCGUCCCCUCCGGGGGACGGGCCCGAAAGGCAGCGGCGGCACCGCGUCCGGUCCUCGAGCGUAUGGGGCUUUGUCACCCGCUCGAUAAGGACCGGCCGGGCGCCAGCCGGCGUCUCCAACCUUUUUUUCUCAGGUUGACCUCGGAUCAGGUAGGGAUACCCGCUGAACUUAA
rnacentral:misc_RNA from 1 species